UGAUUAUGCAUUGUCUUCUCUUUUACUGU
rnacentral:piRNA from 1 species